rnacentral:tRNA from 1 species
GGCGGCAUAGCCAAGUGGGAAGGCAGCGGUCUGCAAAACCGCGAUUCACCAGUUCAAAUCUGGUUGCCGCCU